CAGUAGCCACGGUAAUACGUAGGUGGCAAGCGUUAUCCGGAAUUAUUGGGCGUAAAGCGCGCGUAGGCGGUUUUUUAAGUCUGAUGUGAAAGCCCACGGCUCAACCGUGGAGGGUCAUUGGAAACUGGAAAACUUGAGUGCAGAAGAGGAAAGUGGAAUUCCAUGUGUAGCGGUGAAAUGCGCAGAGAUAUGGAGGAACACCAGUGGCGAAGGCGACUUUCUGGUCUGUAACUGACGCUGAUGUGCGAAAGCGUGGGGAUCAAACAGGAUUAGAUACCCCGGUAGUCCCUGUCUCUUAUAC
rnacentral:rRNA from 1 species